rnacentral:misc_RNA from 1 species
GAUGAAGAACGCAGCGAAAUGCGAUAAGUAAUGUGAAUUGCAGAAUUCAGUGAAUCAUCGAAUCUUUGAACGCACCUUGCACCCUUUGGCAUUCCGAAGGGUAUGCUCGUUUGAGUGUCAUUGUACUCUCACACUUCCAAUUCUUUGGAUUGGGAGCGGUGGACUUGGGUGCUGCUGCUUACCGUGGCUCACCUCAAAUGUGUUAGUGCAACCGUUGGUUAGACAUAGUACAGCGUGAUAAGUAUCUUCGCUGGCGCCUCACCAGAGGGUGGCUGAUCAGGGCUUUGUGCUUCCAAUCGUCUUCGGACAACCGCUCACAACUUGACCUCAAAUCGAGUAGGACUACCCGCUGAACUUAAGCAUAUCAAUAAGCGGAGGA